rnacentral:rRNA from 1 species
AUUGAACGCUGGCGGCAGGCUUAACACAUGCAAGUCGAGCGGGGAAAAGUAGCUUGCUACCGGACCUAGCGGCGGACGGGUGAGUAAUGCUUAGGAAUCUGCCUAUUAGUGGGGGACAACAUCUCGAAAGGGCUGCUAAUACCGCAUACGUCCUACGGGCGAAAGCAGGGGCCCUUCGGGCCUGCCGCUAAUAGAUGAGCCUAAGACGGAUUAGCUAGUUGGUGGGGUAAGGCCUACCAAGGCGACGAUCUGUAGCGGGUCUGAGAGGAUGAUCCGCCACACUGGGACUGAGACACGGCCCAGACUCCUACGGGAGGCAGCAGUGGGGAAUAGUGGACAAUGGGGGGAACCCUGAUCCAGCCAUGCCGCGUGUGUGAAGAAGGCCUUUUGGUUGUAAAGCACUUUAAGCGAGGAGGAGGCUACCGAGAUUAAUACUCUUGGAUAGUGGACGUUACUCGCAGAAUAAGCACCGGCUAACUCUGUGCCAGCCGCCGCCGUAAAAC